rnacentral:rRNA from 1 species
UUCCUUGGAAAAGACAGCUGAGAGGGUGAAACUCCCGUCCGCCUGGUAGAAUGAGUCUUUGUCAACGAGUCGAGUUGUUUGGGAUUGCAGCUCUAAUUUGGUGGUAAAUUCCAUCUAAAGCUAAAUAUUGGUGGGAGACCGAUAGCGUACAAGUACCGUGAGGGAAAGAUGCAAAGAACUUUGAAAAGAGAGUUAAAGAGUACCUGAAAUUGCUGAAACGGAAGCGAAGGAAACCAGUGUUUGUUGGUUCAUAUUUCCCUGGCCACUUGUGGUUUGGGCG